AGAGUUUGAUCCUGGCUCAGAUUGAACGCUGGCGGCAUGCCUUACACAUGCAAGUCGAACGGUAACGCGGGGCAACCUGGCGACGAGUGGCGAACGGGUGAGUAACGCAUCGGAACGUGCCCAGUAGUGGGGGAUAGCCCGGCGAAAGCCGGAUUAAUACCGCAUACGACCUACGGGUGAAAGCGGGGGACCGUAAGGCCUCGCGCUAUUGGAGCGGCCGAUGUCAGAUUAGGUAGUUGGUGGGGUAAAAGCCUACCAAGCCGACGAUCUGUAGCUGGUCUGAGAGGACGACCAGCCACACUGGGACUGAGACACGGCCCAGACUCCUACGGGAGGCAGCAGUGGGGAAUUUUGGACAAUGGGCGCAAGCCUGAUCCAGCCAUGCCGCGUGCGGGAUGAAGGCCUUCGGGUUGUAAACCGCUUUUGUCAGGGAAGAUACGCUCCGGGCCAAUACCCUGGGGUAAUGACGGUACCUGAAGAAUAAGCACCGGCUAACUACGUGCCAGCAG
rnacentral:rRNA from 1 species